AUUGAACGCUGGCGGCAUGCUUUACACAUGCAAGUCGAACGGCAACAGGCCUUCGGGUGCUGACGAGUGGCGAACGGGUGAGUAAUGCAUCGGAACGUGCCCAAUCGGUGGGGGAUAACGUAGCGAAAGUUACGCUAAUACCGCAUAAGCCCUGAGGGGGAAAGUGGGGGACCGCAAGGCCUCACGCGAAUGGAGCGGCCGAUGUCAGAUUAGCUAGUUGGUGAGGUAAAGGCUCACCAAGGCGACGAUCCGUAGCUGGUCUGAGAGGACGACCAGCCACACUGGAACUGAGACACGGUCCAGACUCCUACGGGAGGCAGCAGUGGGGAAUUUUGGACAAUGGGGGCAACCCUGAUCCAGCCAUUCCGCGUGAGUGAAGAAGGCCUUCGGGUUGUAAAGCUCUUUCGGCAGGAACGAAACGGUGGCCCCUAAUACGGGCUACUAAUGACGGUACCUGAAGAAGAAGCACCGGCUAACUACGUG
rnacentral:rRNA from 1 species